CUUUAGCCCUGAUGGAAGCGGCAUCUCCCGAUUUAAAAAACAAGGCUUUUUUGCCGUAGUUUUUGUUAAUCGGGAAAUAUAGCGGACAGCAGGAAUCCCU
rfam:Flavobacterium sp. A45 NODE_4_length_116695_cov_13.4902_ID_7, whole genome shotgun sequence.